rnacentral:rRNA from 1 species
UACGAAGGGGGCUAGCGUUGCUCGGAAUCACUGGGCGUAAAGCGCACGUAGGCGGAUUGUUAAGUCAGGGGUGAAAUCCUGGAGCUCAACUCCAGAACUGCCUUUGAUACUGGCGAUCUCGAGUCCGGGGAGAGGUGAGUGGAACUGCGAGUGUAGAGGUGAAAAUUCGUAGAUAUUCGCAAGAACACCAGUGGCGAAGGCGGCUCACUGGCCCGGUACUGACGCUGAGGUGCGAAAGCGUGGGGAGCAAACAGGG